CGGAUCAAAACCAUUAUUUGAAAGCCGGGAGCUCAUACCCGACGCGGCUGUUUAAGGAUAUUUUGACACAGGCAGGA
rnacentral:tRNA from 1 species